GGCUUUGUGGCUUAGUUGGUUAAAGCGCCUGUCUUGUAAACAGGAGAUCCUGGGUUCGACUCCCAGCAAAGCCU
rnacentral:tRNA from 2 species